rnacentral:lncRNA from 1 species
AUAUCAUAAUCAUUAAUAUUUUAUCUACAUAUUUGGUCAAACUUUAACCACAUUAACAAAGAAUGCACUUAGAAUCAUUUUUUUUUUAUUUUUGGAUAGAGGUAACAACCAGGUGCCUUUGGGGCCUUGUUUAGUUCCAAAAAAUUUUGGGAAAUCGAUACUGUAGCACUUUCGUUUGUAUUUGACAAAUAUUGUCCAAUCAUGGAGUAACUAGGCUCAAAAGAUUCGUCUCGUCAAUUCCGUCCAAACUGUGUAAUUAGUUUUUAUUUUCGUCUAUGUUUAAUACUCCAUGCAUGCGUCUAAAGAUUCGAUGUGACGGAGAAUCUGAAAAAUUUUACAAAAUUUUUUGGGAACUAAACAAGGCCUGGAUGUGGUAUGGAAAGGGAAAAUAAAAUUAAUGAAGUUAAAUAAAAUGAGGUGGCCAAGUGGGUAAUAUAUUAUUUUUAUUUGGCUUGAUGUAGGACAAGGAGAGGAAAAAAGUUAAAAUGACCAAAAUGUUCUUUUAAAGCAAAGCAACUGCCAAUAAGCUAGCUCUAAUAUAAUACAGGCUAAAUAUCAGUAAUUCUUUUGUUUUUGGGUUGAUGUAGGAUAGGGAGAGAGAAAUGAGUUAGAAUGACCAAAAUGUCCUUUCAAAGCAAAGCAACUACCUCUAACAUAACAAAGGCU